CCCUUCCCUUUCAUGGAUCUCAGGAUCUGCUUACCCUUCCGGAGCACCUGGGAUCACCCUUAGUUUUUUUUGGUGGGGUUCGUGUUGUUUAUUCUUUAGUUUUCUAUGUUGUGUCAUGUGUGCUGUUGUUUGUUUGUCUUUUUCAUUUUUAGCCAUGGCGUUGUCAGUUUGUUUAAGAUUUAUGAGUUUGACUGUCCCUUUGGUAUCUUUCGCCCCUCUUUUAAACGACAAGUUUAAUUGCAAUUAGUCAGUUACUGCGUUCUGUACCUUUACACAAAGGAGUUUAGUGUAAAGUUCAUUUUCCCUGAACUAUAUUUUUACAAUAAUGUAUCUAUACUAUUAAACGAGAAGACCUCAUUUUGGGUGUCGCUUCUCUUCUUUCCACAAUAAAUUAAUCAACACGCCUCUGUGUCCGUACAGUGCAUAGUCGCAUUUGUCAUCCAUUCAUAUGAUUAUUCUUCCGGUUUGCGUUUUUCUGUAUACUUUGAACAUACAUAUACUACGAAUAAAGUGUAUUUUCAGAAUUCUAUCUGCUAUCAUUUUCAAGUUUACUAUCCACGGUGGUCACAGAGUUUAUUAAAUAGAGAGGGUCUGUAUACUAUAUCAAUGACCACCAUGGAUCGAUUAGAAAACUUAGAAUUGAAAGUAAAUACACUU
rnacentral:lncRNA from 1 species